rnacentral:lncRNA from 1 species
AGAAGGUCCAUCUGUGUAUCCCUGGCUAGUUUGGAGCUCACUAUACAGAUCAGGCUUGCCUUGGACAUAUGGUCCUCCUGUCUCUGUACCCCCUCCUGUCCAAGUCUGAAGGCGCGUGACACUGCUCCUGGGACAGCCACCCAAUUAACACAGUGGCAGAUACUGUGUACUCAGUGAGGACCAGCCCACACACCACUUGUUCAGGACUUGGACCACAUAGCUUCUUUCUGGUGCCAACACUGGAGAUUAAGAGAGCUGGAGUUGACAGGCUGGCCAUGGACUCCAUCUCCCUGGUGGAGGGAUUCGCAGACACACAGUGGGGAAGAUGCAGGCUCCAUGGUCCACAGUGGGUCUAUGCAGCUGGGAGCCUGACUUGGUUUGGUGUGAGAUCUGCUGGCUGAGUCAUGUUUGUGUGUACAUGUAUGAUGUGUAAAGUAUAUUUCACAUGUGCUCUGCUUUUUUUAAUCUUUGAAG